GUUUUUAUAGUUUAAUGUAAAAUAAUGAUUUUGUAAAUCAUAGAAAUUGAUUAUUAAAAACU
rnacentral:tRNA from 1 species